rnacentral:tRNA from 1 species
GUGGAGCACCGUGGCGCAGUGGUAGCAUGAUGGGCCCAUAACCCAGAGGUCGAUGGAUCGAAACCAUCCGAUGCUAUA